GAGCGCAACCCUUAUCUUUAGUUGCCAGCAUUCAGUUGGGCACUCUAGAGAGACUGCCGUCGACAAGACGGAGGAAGGCGGGGAUGACGUCAAAUCAUCAUGCCCCUUAUGACCUGGGCUACACACGUGCUACAAUGGUUGGUACAACGGGAUGCUACCUCGCGAGAGGACGCCAAUCUCUUAAAACCAAUCUCAGUUCGGAUUGUAGGCUGCAACUCGCCUACAUGAAGUCGGAAUCGCUAGUAAUCGCGGAUCAGCAUGCCGCGGUGAAUACGUUCCCGGGCCUUGUACACACCGCCCGUCACACCACGGGAGUUUGCAACACCCGAAGUCGGUGAGGUAACCGCAAGGAGCCAGCCGCCGAAGGUGGGGUAGAUGACUGGGGUGAAGUCGUAACAAGGUAUCCGUACCGGAAGGUGCGGAUGGAUCACCUCCUUUCUAUGGAGA
rnacentral:rRNA from 1 species